GUAGGUGGCAAGCGUUGUCCAGAUUUACUGGGCGUAAAGAGCGCGCAGGCGGUCGUACAAGUCGCGUGUGAAAGCCCCCGGCUCAACUGGGGAGGGUCACGCGAUACUGUUCGACUCGAAGGCAGGAGAGGGAAGCGGAAUUCCCGGUGUAGUGGUGAAAUGCGUAGAUAUCGGGAGGAACACCAGUGGCGAAGGCGGCUUCCUGGCCUGUUCUUGACGCUGAGGCGCGAAAGCUAGGGGAGCAAACGGGAUUAGACACCCCGGUAGUCCUAGCCGUAAACGAUGGACACUAGGUGUUGGUGGUAUCAACCCCGCCAGUGCCGAAGCUAACGCAUUAAGUGUCCCGCCUGGGGAGUACGGUCGCAAGGGUA
rnacentral:rRNA from 1 species